rnacentral:rRNA from 1 species
UGCGCAGCCUUACCAUGCAGUUCGAACGAACUUCUUUCGGAAGUUAGUGGCGGACGGGUGAGUAACACGUGGGAACGUGCCUUUAGGUUCGGAAUAACUCAGGGAAACUUGUGCUAAUACCGAAUGUGCCCUUCGGGGGAAAGAUUUAUCGCCUUUAGAGCGGCCCGCGUCUGAUUAGCUAGUUGGUGAGGUAAAGGCUCACCAAGGCGACGAUCAGUAGCUGGUCUGAGAGGAUGAUCAGCCACAUUGGGACUGAGACACGGCCCAAACUCCUACGGGAGGCAGCAGUGGGGAAUCUUGCGCAAUGGGCGAAAGCCUGACGCAGCCAUGCCGCGUGAAUGAUGAAGGUCUUAGGAUUGUAAAAUUCUUUCACCGGGGACGAUAAUGACGGUACCCGGAGAAGAAGCCCCGGCUAACUUCGUGCCAGCAGCCGCGGUAAUACGAAGGGGGCUAGCGUUGCUCGGAAUUACUGGGCGUAAAGGGAGCGUAGGCGGACAUUUAAGUCAGGGGUGAAAUCCCGGGGCUCAACCUCGGAAUUGCCUUUGAUACUGGGUGUCUUGAGUAUGAGAGAGGUGUGUGGAACUC